CGAAGUCUGCGAAGGAGCCGCUGCAGGAGUCGCGGCAUUCCCGGCCAGUAAGUGCGGCGGUUCUGCUUGCGUCUUCUGGCGGAGUUUUGUCUGUUGUGAGGUGAGGUUAGUAAGUGGCGGGAGUCCUGCUCACCCCACAACUUCUUCCGUCAGCCGGGCAGCUGGUUCCUGAUGUAGCUGAGUGGGAUGGAUACACACUGUUUUUGGAAGAUGAAGAUGUUAUUUGACGCAUGGAGUCUUUGAAAUGGUUGGAGGGGGGGCCUGCCCCCAGGAAGAAUCAAGACAAGUUAUUUAUCCUGUCCCUGGUCCUCCCAUUGUUGUGCCCCAGUCUCAUUACCGUCUUUUCCGGAACAGUGAAAGAAAACUUGUUGAGCUAUCUGUGCUCACUCUCCAGGCCAGUGGCUUCUACUGGGGUCCUCUUCCUACAGCUGAGGCCCAUUCCAUGCUGGCAAAAGAGUCAGUUGGCACAUUUCUUGUACGUGACAGCUCUCAGGGAAAUCACCUAUUUAGUGUCAGUGUCAAAAUGGAAUCAGGUCCAGUUAGUGUACGGGUCCUAUUUUUUAAAGGAAGGUUUUGGUUAAGAGAGCUCUUUUCAGAUUGUCCAGUGAAACUUCUAGAGCAAGCUGUUGAGAGGAGCAAGAAAAGUCCCCUGAUUUGCCAAAAUGGGAUUAAAUUGGUACUGUCAAAGCCACUGCGCAGAACUCGAAUCCUCAGUUUGCAGCAGCUAUGCCGUCUAUGCAUUGUGACACAAUACGGAAGAGAGGGAUUACCCAGCUUGCCUAUUCAACCUGCACUCCGUAACUAUAUUGAAGAAUUUCCUUUCAAAAUAUGAAGAACCUUAAAGGAUAAAACACAACAUCAGCUCCGCCGAGCCCCCGGCCAAAGUGUGGAAGUGGCGUCCGAGAUCCCCAAGGCCCAAGCCAAGUAACUAGACUAAGAAGAACAGUUUUGGACAAAGUGUGACAGCUGGUCCCAGAACAUAAAUCAUCAUGUAGCCCCAGAAUAAUCUGUAUACACACAUGCUAUAAAUGUACCGUGAACCUGCUUGUUUGCCAUGGUGUAAAGAAUUGAACAAGGAUGCACACUAGCAUGUGCAAGCUCUUAUUCAUAUUCCCAUUUCCCUGCUUAUAGCCUGAUUAUAGGCCGUGUCAGGUGUACAGUCCUUUUGGCCAACUGUCCAUAGAUUAGUACUUUCAAGCAAUGCAAAAUUGCACGUGGUAAGGAGUGGAAACACGAGAUUGCCAUAUUGGAGAAAACACACUCUCUUAACACUAAAUGCAGCGUUGGUUUUUAGUUGCCUUAGUUGUUACCUCAAAGCCCAGUUCUCAAUUAUUUCAUCAGGUUGAGGCUGAUUGACUGUUAUUGCCAUACCUACUAUUCUGAUAUUUAGCUCCUAGAUGUAAAUAAUGAUGGGCAGCAGAAACAUGCUAGUCUGUUACGAAUGAAAUUAUAUAAGCUGCCUUCAUAGUACAAUAAAAUAAUACUUGCUUUUUUAACCUUGUAGUUUAGAUUUCCUCAAGGGGAAAAAAAGGUCUUUAAGAUGUUUUCCGAGCUUAUAGAAAUACAGAAAUGUAUCUGUAUGUAUCUGAAUAAUCAUCUGUUUAUACUACCAUAGCUCAGAAGUACUUAUCACUUUCAUUAUCUUGUACAGCUCUGUGCAGCACUGUUGUUUUAAUGCAGCCAGAGUGUACUGUGGGUAAGAUCAUCAAUGUGAAGGACUACAGUUCCUGUGAUUAUUUUCCCCUGACAUUACCUCUAAUAACAGAUGCUUGCAUACUCUUAGCAAGUGCUGUAAUUUCUCCCUGUCUGCUCUGCUGUUCUGUCGUUCACUGGCUCUGCAUUAUCUGCUACCCAGCCUGUGAAACACUAUCCACUCAGAGACGGGGAAGGAGGUGAACCAGGAUACAGUGGAGGUAAGAAACAUGUGAUGUGUGACCUCUCCUACUGCAGGGAGGGGGAGAGGGGAGAUAACCCGCUGUUCUGAGUAUGGGACAUCACACAAGCAGGAGAUAAACCCCAGGAGCAUGGUCAUUUGACUGCAUGGGAGACUUGCUUACAGAGGCAUCUCAACUACAGACAGUACCUUAGGAAGUGAUGAAUCUCAACUGCAGUUAACCCAUUUGCACCCGAUUUUUUUUUUUUUUAAAGAUUGAAAAACCCAUUUGAAAUGUAUGUUUCCUAUUAUUUUAGUUAUCUACCUGUUACACCUCAGGAUCUUUUCACAUCUAUGUGGGAGGUUCCAUUGCUUUUUCCUCAUUCUAGGUGGGAGAAAUAGGGGUUCAGUGCUAUUUGUCUUGUCAAAAUGACACCUCAGUUUCCAUUAUAAGUCAGUGUGGUCCAUUAGAUGCCGCCAGUGUCCAUCGUAUAACAGAUCUGGCAACUUUUCAUGCAUAAUGGAAACCACAAGGCAGAUGGCAACAGAGUCUUAUUUUUGCUAGUCUUGCAACAGACUGAUGAGUGAAUUAAUUGCAUGUUUUUGCAGUAGUAUUUUAUUAAGUUACUGAUUCAGUGCAGACUAUAGACUAGACUGAUAUGGAAUAUGUAGUCUUACCUUAAGUACAUGCUAUAUCACACACUGCACUUAACAUUUGUAAUAUAAUUAUCUGUAAUUUUACUGGUAUGUAUUUUCAUUAUAUUUGAUCAUCUUGUUCUGAAAAUUUGAUAUUGCUGUUUUAAGCAAAAUGUUUACAAAGAAACA